AUUGAACGCUGGCGGCAGGCCUAACACAUGCAAGUCGAGCGAGCGGCGGACGGGUGAGUAAUGUAUGGGGACUGCCCGCUAGAGGGGGAUAACUACUGGAAACGGUGGCUAAUACCGCAUACUAUCGGAUAACCCAUAUGGGUUUAGCUAGUAGGUGGGGUAAAGGGUCACCUAGGCGACGAUCUCUAGCUGGUCUGAGAGGAUGAUGAGCGAGACUGGGAAUGAGACACGGCCCAGACUCCUACGGAGGCAGCAGUGGGGAAUAUUGCACAAUGGGGGCAAGCCUGAGGCAGCCAUGGCGCGUGUAUGAAGAAGGCCUUAGGGUUGUAAAGUACGUUCAGCGGGGAGGCGUUACCCGCAGAUGAAGCACCGGCUAAUUCCGUGCCAGCAGCCGCGGUAAUUC
rnacentral:rRNA from 1 species